GGNCUAUACAUGCAAGUCGAGCGCAGUCAUUUUCACCCGAAGGCUUGCUCCGCUGGAAGCUAAAAGAGCGAGCGACGGGUGAGUGAGUAACGCGUGACCUGCCUGCCCUUUAGCUAGGGAUACCGCUUGGAAACAGGUGCUAAUACCAAAUAAGAAAACCGAGCGCAUGCUAUUUCUAUGGAAGGCGGCUUUGUCGCUGACGCUUGGGGACGGGCCCGCUGUGCAUUAUGUAGUUGGUACGGUAACGGCUUACCAAGGCAAUGAUGCUACCUGAGUUGAGAGAGGAUCGGCCACAUUGGAACUGAGCACGGCUAAACUCCUACGGGAGGCAGCAGAAGGGAAUCUUCCACAAUGGACGUGAUCUGAUAGAGCAACGCCGCGUGAGAAAAGAAGGUUUUCGGAUCGUAAAGCUCUGUUGUUGGUGAAGAAGGAGUGAACUGUUCUGAUUCAUAUUUGACGGUAAUCAACCAGAAAGCUCGGCUAACUACGUGCCCGCGCCGCGGUAAUAUUAGGUGGCAAGCGUUGUCCGGAUUUAUUGGGCGUAAAGCGAACGCAUGCGGAAGAACAAUUCAACUGUGAACGCCCUCGGCUUAACCGGGGAAUUGCAACUGAAACUGUUUUUCUUGAAUGCAGAAGAUGAGAUUGGAUGUCCAUGUGUAGCGUGGGAAUGCGUAUAUAUAUAACACCAACACCAGUGGCGAAUCUCGCUCUCUGGUCUGUAACUGACGCUCAAGUUCGAAAGCAUGGGUAGCGAACAGGAUUAGAGACCCUGGUAGUCCAUGCCGAUGACGAUUAGUGCUAAGUGUUGGUAGGCCUCCGCCUGUCAGUGCUGCAGCUAACGCAUUUCCCACUCCGCCUGGCGAGUACAACCGCAAGGCUAAAACUCAUAGGAAUUGACCGGGGCCCGCACAAGCGGUGGAGCAUGUGUUUUAAUUCACAGCAACAACCAUAACCUGACCAGGUCUUGACUUCUAAUGCCAGUCCUAGAGAUACCACGUCCCCUUCGGAGACACAGGGACAGGUGGGGCAUGGCUGGUCUCCAGCUCGGGAUCGGGUAGAUGUUUAGGUUUCAGCUCCCGGCACCCAAGCCGCCUUACCUCUUUUAUUUUUGUUCCGUCUGCCUAGCCAUUUUGAGGC
rnacentral:rRNA from 1 species